GUGAAUCAUCAAAUUUUUGAACGCAUAUUGCACUCCCCGGCAUUCCGGGGAGUAUGCCUGUUUCAGCAUCAGAAUCAUCCUCGAGCCCACGAGACGGACUCCUAUCUCGUAUGCCGUCUUCUGCUUGAAAAAAAAAAGGUUUAAGCGACUUAAAAUUUUCCUUUUGAUUCCAUGAACGUUUCUAAGAUUUAUUUCUUUACACGUUUAAGGUAUCGAUUUUUAUUAGACGUGGCCGUCAUAUCGGAUCGCGUCCAUAAUUUUUCGCUAACUGACCUCAGCCAGGUAAGAGUACCCGCUGAA
rnacentral:misc_RNA from 1 species